rnacentral:lncRNA from 1 species
UCCCAACUAAACCAAUUCCAGCCCACUUGCUUCCAUUCCAUCAGCUUACAACAACCGACCCAACCUUUUCCUUUUUCACAAAUAACCCAGACCCAUACAAUACAUACAGCAGCAAUAGCGUACAACAUUACCAAAACAGAACCGACCCCUGCGCGUACCUUCUUCUUCAACCAGCAAAUAAUGCCCAAAAACAAAACGAGAAAACCCAGAAAUCGCUCCAGCAGCAGCGGGUUCGACCCGACCCUCCUAGAUCGUUCGAGAAUCUUCCAGGUGUCGUAAUCUCCUCGCUCCCUCGUC